rnacentral:rRNA from 1 species
UGCAAGUCGAGGGGCAGCGGGGAAAAGCUUGCUUUUCCGCCGGCGACCGGCGCACGGGUGCGCACCGCGUAUGGAACCUGCCUUGUACAGGGGAAUAGCCCAGGGAAACUUGGAUUAAUGCCCCGUGGUACCGUAUUUCGGCAUCGUUAUACGGUUAAAGCCUUCGGGCGGUACAAGAUGGCCAUGCGUCCCAUUAGCUGGAUGGUAAGGUAACGGCUUACCAUGGCUACGAUGGGUAGGGGCCCUGAGAGGGGGAUCCCCCACACUGGUACUGAGACACGGACCAGACUCCUACGGGAGGCAGCAGUGAGGAAUAUUGGACAAUGGAGGGGACUCUGAUCCAGCCAUGCCGCGUGCAGGAAGAAUGCCCUAUGGGUAGUAAACUGCUUUUAUACGGGAAGAAAAAGAGCUACGUGUAGCUUACUGACGGUACCGUAAGAAUAAGGACCGGCUAACUCCGUGCCAGCAGCCGCGGUAAUACGGAGGGUCCGAGCGUUAUCCGGAAUUAUUGGGUUUAAAGGGUCCGUAGGCGGGCCGAUAAGUCAGGGGUGAAA